CCGGCUGCAAGUGUCUGAGCCGAGUCCCGGGUGCACGUCCCACAGCUCAGGGAAGCGCACCGCGCGCGGGGACCGGCUCCGUUCCUUUCCCUGCGGUAAGAGCCUCGCCUCGGCCCCCCAAGCGACCCGCGGCUGACAGAGCCCAACUCUUCGCGGCGGCAGUGGGCGCCUCCGGAGAAGCCCCGGCCGACCGCGGCCUCAGGCGGGGCGCGGGGCCUGGGCGGAUGAGCCACGCAGGUUCCCGGGAGAGAUUACCUGAAAAGGAUCAUCCAUGACCCCAAUGAAGAGGCUAGAGUCUGUACAGAAUAUUCCAGGCUAGUUGUUGGGUUAACUGCCUAAGAAACCACAGUUAAGGACCAUGCCCCUGCCUAAUCUAGCAAGCUACUUUGGAGAACACUUUAAAUUUACAUCUCUUAACCUCUUUACAUCUCAACUUCUUAAUUUGUAAAUGGAAAUACUAUUUGUCUUGCCCAUCUCUCUGGGAUGUUGAAGUUUAAAUUAGAUAAAUGUAUCUAAACAGGUUAGCCGAAACUUCUUUUAGGAAAAAAGCACUUUAAGAAUUCUAAAGUGAGGGGGUUGGGAUCAUUUUGUUAGGGGAACCACUGACUGAAACCGCCUGCCCUGGCCAGGUACCAUAGUAACCACUUGCAAGAGCUAUCUUAAGCAGGAGGUCCUGGUAAGGAAUGCGGAACUAAUAAGCUACCACCAACCGGAAGAAUUUGGGGAAGAUCAAAAGGAGAGAGGAGGGCUUCCUUGGUGGCGCAGUGGCUGAGAGUCCGCCUGCCGAUGCAGGGGACGCGGGUUCGUGUCCCGGUCCGCGAAGAUCCAACAUGCCGCGGAGCGACUGGGCCCGUGAGCUAUGGCCGCUGAGCCUGCGCGUCCGGAGCCUGUGCUCCGCAACGGGAGAGGCCACAACAGUGAGAGGCCCGCGAACCACCCGCCCCCCCAAAAAAAGGAGAGAGGAGACUCCAGUCCAUGUGUUGUACCAACUUCCCAGAAUCCUUCUCGCUAGAAUCCAUCUUGGCUGAGUGAUGCGUGUGCCACCAGGAAGGAUCCUGAGUCAGAGUGAGUGGCCAGAGACAACACAGAAAUCAACCCAAUUACCAUAAAACCCGAGACUGCGAGCCACGUGGCAGCGCAGUUCUCCUGUGUUCCCUUACCCUGCUGCUCUCUGCCCCGCCGCCCCUUCCCAAUAAAGCCUCUUGCUUUGUCAGCA